rnacentral:rRNA from 1 species
UACGUAGGGGGGCUAGCGUUGUCCGGAAUCAUUGGGCGUAAAGAGCGCGUAGGCGGCCAGAUAAGUCCGGUGUGAAAGUCAAAGGCUCAACCUUUGAAUGCCGCUGGAAACUGUCUGGCUAGAGUCCGGGAGGGGCGAGUGGAAUUCCUGGUGUAGCGGUGAAAUGCGCAGAUAUCGAGAGGAACACCUGCGGCGAAGGCGGGUUGCUGGGCUGAUACUGACGCUGAGGCGCGAAAGCCAGGGGAGCGAACGGGG